UUAGGCAGGCUGCAGUGGAGGAGGGUACGCCGUUCCAUUGGCGUGGUACUGUCGGCGGCCCUUCAGAGGAGAUGCUGCCCCACGGAACGCCUGGCAAGUGCUGGCGAAGCGGCAUGGGCGUCCCACUCCGUUCCUCAACCAAUUUCCUCACAAUCGCGAGCCGAAGUGUGGCGCUUUGGCAGUUUCGCAAGGUCUUUUGUCAGGAGAUGAGUUACUGAGGAUUGGGGGUCUUUGGAGCUCUUGGACCUGAAGAACGAUUAAGUUUUUCUCCCUUCAGAGAGCCAAGAGAUGGGGUCUUGCUGUGUUGCCCAGGGUGGAGUGCAGUGGCUAUUCACAGGUGUGAUCAUAGCUACUAUAGCCUCAAACCCUGGGUUCAAGUGAGUCCUUUGAACUAGAACAUUGGCCUUUUCUGGUUCUGCAGAAGCUUCCAGCCUUCAGAUUUGAACUGGGACACUGGCUCUGCAGAUUUUGGACUUGCCAGCCUUCAUAAUUGUAACCUACACUCCUGUCAUUUGUGGAAUGAUUGCUGGAGCCAGAGGCCAGGAAGAAGUUCAUGAGCCUGAGAGAAAAAGCAAGGAUUUCCAGUUCUACCCUGUAAGUCACUGAGCUCACUGAGCUUCAUUUUUCUUAUCCAUCAAAUGGGGAUAUUGAUUUUUUUUUUUUUUUUGAGACCAAGUUUCAUUCUUGUCACCCAGGCUGGAGUACAGUGGCGUGCUCUCGUCUCACUGCUACCUCUGGCUUCCGGGUUCGAGUGAUUCUCCUACCUCAGCCUCCUGAGUAACUGGGAUUACAAGUGUGUAC
rnacentral:lncRNA from 1 species